rnacentral:sRNA from 1 species
GUCUGCACUUGUCGGGGAAGGGUGAGAACCCUCGAUUAAGGUUCGACUCGAGCGAAAGCGAGAGAAC